GCAGGCAGGCAGGCAAUCUGGACAUGCAAAAGGUCUUUUAAUAGUAACUGCACGCAGGACAUGGAAACAAUGAACCGACAAAACACACAGAACUGAGAGGGUUUAAAUACAUGAGGGCUGGGAGCUUGGGUGAUUGGAAAAUGAGAGGCAGGUGGGAGCAAUUAACAGCAUGACUGAACAGAAUGGGGAGACAGGACAGGGUGUGACAAAAUGCUGUGGGCGACGAGGAGAGACAACUUGAUGUUUACAACUGUACCUACAUCUAAAGGGAACCAAAUGUGUGCUUCUAUUUCAGCUGUACAUAAUGUGCCAUAUCAAACAUUUUCUGGUGGAUGUAUGCCUUUCAUAAAACAUUGAUUUUAUACGUAAGAGCUAAUAAAAAAAUUCAUAACCGGACUGGGAGUUCUGGUAGUAGGAAAAGAAGAAUGGACAACUUGAGGUGUGUUUCGGAGUCAGAGACACGAAUCGGAGGCUGUGUUGGACAUGAUGACGAACUGAAAAAAUUUGUCUUUUGAUUUAAAUGUUUAUUAUUCAAACUAACAAGUGCAGCAACGGUGUGACUAUUCUUUUCUAUUUCUUAGUUGAAUUAGCAGACUUCAUGCUUCCAGGUGCACUGCUGCCCUCUGCUGGUUCUUUCAGGUUACAGCCAUAGUCCAAAUGGGUAACAUGAAGCUCGUAUGUCCCUAAACAGCUACUGUAUUUUAAGAUGGUGGAUGACCAUGGAGCAUCUGCCACAGUUUAUGUAUAUAAAAAUAUAUAAUUUCAAGUUGAGAGGAGUAUUUAGAAUUGAUGUUGGUGAGAAAAAUUAGUGAAAAAGAAGAAGCUUGUGAACUGGAAACAGGAUUUGAUAGUGAACAGAAAUCGAGACUCAUCAGACCAGGCAACAUUUUUCCAGCCUGCAACUGUCCAAUUUUGGCAGGAUGAACUCCUGACAGAAACUCCCUGGAACCUUCUGUGUUGAUCUGCACUGGGUCAAGAUUAGAGCAGCUAAACACCAAGCCGGAGUUCUGAUUCUUCUGCUCCUUGGUUAAAAUGGGCCUUUACUAACAGGUAGGAGGCAGAAACUCACCGCAGCCACCUGGUUGAAGGAGCGUUUGAUGCUGUUGGCCAUGG